AAGCCUAUUUCCUGGUAUUGGAAAGUUGUUUGUGACAGCCUGCUCUCUUUUUGUAGUUUUAAAACCCAAACUACUUCAUCACUUCAGGUCAGCUAGCAGGAAGUCACUGAUAUAUAUAUUAUUUAACCAUGAAACUCCAAGCUAGUAAUUACAGAGUUUGGAACGAGCUCCUCUCUAAAGAACUCUUUUUCUUGGAAAACUACAUUUCAUCCUAACAUUCCCCAGUCAGCUGUACUUCUUCAGCUUUGAAUAAUUUAUUUUUGAACAUGCUUAUCUGGCCCAGACUCCCCACUUGUUCACAUAAGCCAAUAAACUUUUUUUUUCCCCCCCCCGUAAACUAAUUAGUGACCUAGUGAGAUUGAGUAAUGCUUAUAAAGCACUUUGGAGAUAAAUGGGAAAUGCUGUCACCAAGGGAGUCAUGGAGAUAGGAAUAUUAGAGGGAAGAAAACAAGUGUCAGGAUUCAACAGCUACAGUACCUGACAGUGGGACUCUGGAAUAGCUUCAUCAAGUUUUCAUGGACAAUUUAGACAACUGCUUGGAAUCCUGUCUUCUCUGUGCAAGAUCUUCUUGAAGUUCCUGCUCCUCCAGCCCCUCUCACACACUACAAAGAGCAGCUGGAGACAGGAGACAACAAUGACAUGCAGGAGAACCCAAGCAAACUCUUUGCUUUAAUGCUCAAAGUGAUGCCACGGAAUUUAUGUAACAACAUGGGCUCCCUCACUCAUAUUCUAUGACGCUUCACAAGCCUUGAAGUCCUUAGUUUUGAGGCUGAUCUAUAAAUUCAAUGUUAAAUUAGCUGUGUGUGCGCGAAGCUUAUUCUCCAGUUCCAGAAAUGCUCCUGUGCUGCCUAGGUUGGUCAGCAGUGGCACAUUAACCAGUUGUGUUACAUAUGUUUACCAGUACAAUCUUGUUUGCCAUCGACUGCAUUCUCUACACUUUUACAAGCUGCAUUUCCAUAUGCAAAAAGUACAGAAAAGGGGAGAACUAGCAACUACUUAGGGAGGAACAACAUUACACACCAGUACAUGCUGGAGGCUGAGGGGCUGGAAAGCAGUUCUGAGGAAAUUCAGCUUGUUGAAUAACAAGUUGAAUAUGAGCUUGCACUCUGCCCUUGUGGCAAAGAAGGCCAGUCGUAUCCUGGGCUGCAUUAGGAGCGUUGCCAGCAAGUCGAGGGAGCUGAUCCUUCCCUUUCUCCUCAGCACUGGUAAGGCCACCCCUUUGGAGUGCUGAGUCCAGUCCUGGGAUCCCCACUACGAGGGACAUGGAGCUACUGGAGGUCGAGUCCAGAGAAGGGCCACUAAGAUCGUGAAGGGACUGGAGCACCUUGCAUUUGAGGAAAGUAUGAGUAUUGGGACUGUGCAGCCUGGAGAAGAGAAGGCUCAAGGGAGACGUCAUCAAGAUGUACCAAUAUCCGAAGGGAGGGAGUGCCACUGAGAGGUCAAGGGGCACAACUGAAACUCAGGAGGUUCCUCCUGAAUGUAAGGAAACACAUUUUCACUCUGAGGGGGACUGUGCAUGGGAACAGGGUGCCCAGAGAGGUUUGGGAGUCUACAUCCAUGGAGAUAUUCAAAAGUUGUCAGGACCUGGUCCUGAGCAACCGGCUCCUGGUGAGCCUGCUUCAGCAGGGGGGUUUGAGAAGAUGACCUCCAGAAGACCCUUCCAACUACUACCACUCUCUGAUUCUGUGAAAAUGCCCUUUUUGUCAACGACAAAUAUAAGAGGGAAACUGACCAAAAGGACAAAUAGGAAAAUGUCUUUACGAAAAAUAGUGACAUUGUACAUAAACAUUUUCCCACUGGAAGUCGCAUUUUUACAUCUCAACUCUAAGUGAUAAUGCUUCUUGCAUUUAGGUGUCUCCUACAUACUAAAAAAAAAGUGAAAUCAUUUUGCAUUUUUCUUCUUUAAUUAAAGGAUUACAAAGAACAGCAAUUUUCCCUCCACCUCCUUCCUUCCUCUGCUUCCUAGGAGCUACUUCCUCUACCAUCCACAUGAAGAGCAUAACACUAUUAUGAGGAAACUGGAGGCGGACAAAGAAGGUGAGACAGUCAAACAGCUAAGUUACGCUCUGGUUGAAUGGAUAAAGAAUUAUCUCCAAGACAUGACUAGUGGCGUUGAUCUUCAUGGGGAAAAAAAGCCCACUGAAUCAUUUAUUUGGAAAACAUUAAAAAAAAAGAGAAGAAAGUGUGAAUAAUACAUGGAUUUUGCACACAGAUGAAAAAAAGUGGGUCAAGUUUAGAGUCUGUUAACCGUGACUGUGCCUCUUCUGAACCAACAUGUAGACACAAAGUAUUUAAUUAUUUCCUGAAACACUGGAACUGCCAUUUUUUGGUGGAUGACUUACAAUAUACAGUACAUUUCUGAAUAAAUUCCAUUUUAAGGAAC